UAGGGAAUUUUCCGCAAUGGACGCAAGUCUGACGGAGCAACGCCGCGUGAGUGAAGAAGGAUUUCGGUUCGUAAAACUCUGUUGUUAGAGAAGAACAGCGCAUAGAGUAACUGUUAUGCGUGUGACGGUAUCUAACCAGAAAGCCACGGCUAACUACGUGCCAGCAGCCGCGGUAAUACGUAGGUGGCAAGCGUUGUCCGGAUUUAUUGGGCGUAAAGCGAGCGCAGGCGGUCAAUUAAGUCUGAUGUGAAAGCCCCCGGCUCAACCGGGGAGGGUCAUUGGAAACUGGUUGACUUGAGUGCAGAAGAGGAGGGUGGAAUUCCAUGUGUAGCGGUGAAAUGCGUAAAUAUAUGGAGGAACACCAGUGGCGAAGGCGACUAUCUGGUCUGUAACUGACGCUGAGGCUCGAAAGCGUGGGUAGCAAACAGG
rnacentral:rRNA from 1 species